UCAUCUUUGAAGAGAACCUUUUCUGAGAGAGAGAUUGAGAAAGGAGGAGAGGGAGAGAAAGAGAUAUGAACUCUACCUUAUCCCACCAUGGCUGGGAUUUCACACACAACACCCUCCCUCCCUCUGAUUAGAGACCCCAGACCAGGAUGUGAGCUCCAGAGACUUGAAGGAGACUGAGAUGCGUUUUUUGUGUCUAACUGCCCGUUUAUCGUUGAUGAUUGGUUGUUGCCGUGGGCAAUGGUGAAAGCGGAUACCUAUGGAUAAACAGAUAUGUGAACUCCUCUUGUAUUCUGAAAUGAAACCGGAGGGAGGAGGGGAGGACUGAGAACUAUUACCUGAACAUAAAGAAUAAAAAGAGGGUUUAAUGGAGAAAGAAGAUGUGAACACCUUCUAACGUGCGAGAGGGAGGGCCGGGCGAACGAGAGGAUGGACAGACUUCUUUCUCUUUGAUUCAUUUCUCUCUUAAUCUAGAAUUUUUCUCUCCCUGUUUUUUGAUGUUGGGUUUUAUUAAGCGGGGUGGGUGAGGAGAUGGGGAGGGAGAAGUGGGCCGGCUGUGUGUGUGUUACCAUGUUUGCGUCCCAAAAGGGCACCCUAUUCCCUUCAUAUAGUGCACUACUUGUGUCCAGGGCCCAUGGGGAUCUGAUCAAAAGUGGUGCGCUAUAUAGGGAGUAGGGUGCCAUUUGGGACUUAUCCUCUGAGAUGGGUUCAGUUUCUCUCCGGACAGCAAGAUGAACACCGGGGUCACACCCCAGCACUAUAAAGAAGCACCCUUCCUUCCUUCCUUCCUUCCUUCCUUCUUACUCUCCUUGUUCUUUGUGACAUCACUGACUUGACACAACUUGAAAGUGUAAAAGCUUGAACUCCAUUUUUUCAGUCAUGUCUGAUUCAUUGAUUAUUUCAAGAAAGGAGGCAGAGAGGGAAGAAAGGAGGCAGAGAGGGAAGGAAGAGAGGGAACGAGGGGAAAAAGAGGAAGGAUGAGUGAAGAGAGGAGGCAGAGAGGGAAGGAAGAGAGGGAAGAAAGGAAGAGAGGGAGGGAACGAGGGGAAAAAGAGGAAGGAUGAGUGAAGAGAGGAGGCAGAGAGGGAAGGAAGGAGGGAACGAGGGGAAAAAGAGGAAGGAUGAGUGAAGAGAGGAGGGAGAGAGGGAAGGAAGGAAGAGAGGGAGGUCGGGGUACAUUUUAAAGGUGUUGGAAUGUGGCUCUUGCCUUACAGCUCUGACCUGUAAAUGAACACACGCCACUGAUUUUAUAUAUAUAAAUAAAUAAAUAUAUAUUAUAUACGAUGAAAAGUCCCUAAAAAUAAUUGGAUUAUGUUGUUGGGAGGGAGAACGGCUAAUCUGCC
rnacentral:lncRNA from 1 species